AGUUAAACUAAAAACAUAACCUAUGGUUGUAGACAAAUGUAUUGGCAGGUGUCUGGACGUGGGUUCGACUCCCACCGGCUCCA
rnacentral:tRNA from 1 species